GGUCAAGUUAUUAAGGGUGCAGGGCGGAUGCCUUGGCACUAGGAGCCGAUGAAGGACGUGAUAAGCUGCGAUAAGCUUCGGGGAGUUGCACGUAAACUUUGAUCCGAAGAUUUCCGAAUGAGGAAACUCACUUAGAGUAAUGUCUAAGUAUCAUUAAGUGAAUACAUAGCUUAAUGAGGGGAACUCAGGGAACUGAAACAUCUAAGUACCUGAAGGAAGAGAAAGAAAUUCGAUUCCGUAAGUAGCGGCGAGCGAACGCGGAUUAGCCCAAACCAAUAAAGUUUUCUUUAUUGGGGUUGCGGACAUAUCAUAACGAAGAGGUAUCGUAAUUGAAGAGGUUUGGAAAGAUCCACCACAGAAGGUAAUAGUCCUGUAUGUUAAACGAGAAGACUUCAGAUAUGAUCCAGAGUACCACGGGACACGUGAAACCCUGUGGGAAGCAGGAGGGACCACCCUCCAAGGCUAAAUACUACCUAGUGACCGAUAGCGUAUAGUACCGUGAGGGAAAGGUGAAAAGAACCCCGGGAGGGGAGUGAAAUAGAACCUGAAACCCUGCACUUACAAGCUGUGGAAGCACAUUUCUUGUGUGACCGCGUACUUUUUGUAGAACGGGCCAACGAGUUACGUUAAGUAGCAAGGUUAAGCACUUAAGGUGCGGAGCCGUAGCGAAAGCGAGUUUUAACUGAGCGUUCAGUUAUUUGACGUAGACCCGAAACCGGGCGACCUACCCAUGAGCAGGAUGAAGCGAAAGUAAAAUUUCGUGGAGGUCCGAACCCACGAGCGUUGAAAAGCUCGGGGAUGACUUGUGGGUAGCGGUGAAAUUCCAAUCGAGCCCGGAGAUAGCUGGUUCUCCCCGAAAUAGCUUUAGGGCUAGCCUCAAGGUGAGAGAUACGGAGGUAGAGCACUGAAUGUCCUAGGGGGUAUUGCACCUACCGAAGACUAUCAAACUCCGAAUGCCGUCAUCUUAUACUUGGGAGUCAGACUGUGGGUGAUAAGAUUCAUAGUCGAAAGGGCAACAGCCCAGAUCGUCAGCUAAGGUCCCUAAAUGUAAGUUAAGUGGUAAAGGAUGUGGGAUUGCACAGACAACCAGGAUGUUGGCUUAGAAGCAGCCACUCAUUCAAAGAGUGCGUAAUAGCUCACUGGUCGAGUGAUCCUGCGCCGAAGAUUUCCGGGGCUAAAACUUACUACCGAAGCUACGGCAUCAGUAAUGAUGGGUAGGGGAGCUUCCCAUACGGGUUGAAGCAUGACCGUAAGGACAUGUGGACAGUAUGGGAGUGAGAAUGUUGGCAUGAGUAGCGAGAUGUGGGUGAGAAUCCCACAGGCCGUAAACCCAAGGUUUCCAGGGGAAGGUUCGUCCGCCCUGGGUUAGUCGGGACCUAAGCUGAGGCCGAAAGGCGUAGGUGAUGGACAACAGGUUGAUAUUCCUGUACUACCGAUAACCGUUUGAGAGAAGGGAUGACACAGUAGGAUAAGCUAAGCACACUGUUGGUUAUGUGUGCCCAAGCAUUGAGGCAGUCAAAGUAGG
rnacentral:rRNA from 1 species